UUGAUCCUGCCGGCGGCCACUGCUAUCAGGUUUCGACUAAGCCAUGCGAGUCUAGGGGUCGUAAGACACCGGCAUACCGCUCAGUAACACGCGGACAAUCUAACCCCAGGUGGGGGAUAACCUCGGGAAACUGAGGCUAAUACCCCAUAGUCACUCUAUGCUGGAAUGCUUGAGUAAUGAAAACUACGGUGCCUGAGGAUGAGUCUGCGGCCCAUCAGGUAGUAUGUGGUGUAAAGGACCACAUAGCCUAGGACGGGUACGGGCCCUGAAAGGGGGAGCCCGGAGAUGGACUCUGAGACACUAGUCCAGGCCCUACGGGGCGCAGCAGGCGCGAAAACUGUGCAAUGCGCGAAAGCGCGACACGGGAAACCUGAGUGCCUUGACAUUUGUCAAGGCUUUUCUUAAGCCUAAAAAGCUUAAGGAAUAAGAGCUGGGUAAGACGGGUGCCAGCCGCCGCGGUAACACCCGCAGCUCGAGUGGUGGUCACUUUUAUUGAGCCUAAAGCGUUCGUAGCCGGCUUCGUAAAUCCCCAGACAAAUUCUUCUGCUCAACAGAAGAUCCUCUGGAGAGACUGCGGAGCUAGGGACCGGGUGAGGUUGAAGGUACUUCUGGGGUAGGGGUAAAAUCCUGUAAUCCUGGAAGGACGACCGGUGGCGAAAGGCGUUCAACUAGAACGGAUCCGACGGUGAGGAACGAAAGGCUAGGGGAGCAAACCGGAUUAGAUACCCGGGUAGUCCUA
rnacentral:rRNA from 1 species